UACAGAGGUCCCAAGCGUUGUUCGGAUUCAUUGGGCGUAAAGGGUGCGUAGGCGGCGCGGUAAGUCGGGUGUGAAAUCUCGGGGCUUAACUCCGAAACUGCAUUCGAUACUGCCGUGCUUGAGGACUGGAGAGGAGACUGGAAUUUACGGUGUAGCGGUGAAAUGCGUAGAUAUCGCUUGGAACGCCGACGGCGAAAGCAGUCUGCUGGGGGUGUGCUGACGCUGAGACACGAAAGCCAGGGGAGCGAACGGG
rnacentral:rRNA from 1 species